rnacentral:rRNA from 1 species
GACGAACGCUGGCGGCGUGCUUAACACAUGCAAGUCGAACGGGCCUGUCUUCUUUUUUGGGGGUGGGUUGAGUGGCGAACGGGUGAGUAUCACGUGAGUAACCUGCCCUUCGGUCCUGGAUAACCGCUUGAAAGGGCGGCUAAUACGGGGUGGUCCGGUUGGUCCGCAUGGGCUGGUCGGGAUAGAUUCACUGUUUUUGGUGUUUCGGCGGGGGAUGGGCUCGCGGCCUAUCAGCUUGUUGGUGGGGUGAUGGCCUACCAAGGCGGUGACGGGUAGCCGGCCUGAGAGGGUGGGCGGCCACACGGGGACUGGGAUACGGCCCAGACUCCUGCGGGAGGCAGCAGUGGGGGGUAUUGCACAAUGGGCGGAAGCCUGAUGCAGCGACGUCGCGUGAGGGAUGGAGGCCUUCGGGUUGUGAACCUCUGUUUCCGGUGGUGAAGGCCCUGUCCGUGUGGUGGGGUUGACGGUAGCCGGGGAUGAAGCGCCGGCUAACUACGUG